rnacentral:rRNA from 1 species
UAUUAUGAGAGUUUGAUCCUGGCUCAGGACGAACGCUGGCGGCGUGCCUAAUACAUGCAAGUCGAACGCUUCUUUCCUCCCGAGUGCUUGCACUCAAUUGGAAAGAGGAGUGGCGGACGGGUGAGUAACACGUGGGUAACCUACCCAUCAGAGGGGGAUAACACUUGGAAACAGGUGCUAAUACCGCAUAACAGUUUAUGCCGCAUG